CGACCGAAUGAGAAAUGUUUGUAGAUAAAUUCAUCCUUUUUAUUAUACGUUUGGGGUCACAUUGAGGAAUCCUCUGGUGGGUCACACGAUUGUGGGCAGAGACAUUUGUGAUUUUAACUCACCUGUUGAUUUCCACCUGGGUGGGCAGGUGGGCAGGUGGCCGCAUUUUGGUUGACAUUUUUUCCACCCUUGAGCUUCUUUUUGAAGCCACAGAUUCUCCAAACAGACUCGUGAUGAGAAAACACCUGUGUCUGAAGAAGAUCCCGUUAUAGCGGUUCUAUUGUGGUCACGUGACCACCUGCUUUAGCAGCUUUAGUUCUAAUUCAUCAUUUCAGUGAUUUUCUGACUUUUAUUCACAUUUGAAACAAACUUGAAAUCAGUACUGGGAAACCACGCCCCCUUCUGUAGUGAUUGGCCUGAUGCUGCUGCUCUGCUGUCACAGCGUGUUGCCAUGACAACUGCGGCACGAGGACAUUUGGCCACAGAGCGGUUGCUAUGGGAAACCAGCGAAGCGGCGACGAGCAGACUCGGCUUUGAGUCCUGGAGGUGUUUCGCUUCUCUGACGAGCACGUGACUCAAAAACGGCGGUAAAUAAGCGUGCUUGAGAUGACGGACCCCGCGCUGCGCAGAUCGCCUGGAGCGCGGUGCAUGCUGGUGUUGGUGUUCUGAGCGCCGUGGUCUGGACGUCCAGAACCGGGCCGUGAUGAGCCUCUGACACCCACCUCCUCCUCCACGGCGAACAGCUUGACGAUGUUCUUGUGGUUGAGCUUCUUCAGGACCUCGAACUCCCUCAUCUGGACGUCCAGCGGCCGCAGGAAGCUCAGGUUGUUGAAGACCUUGACGGCGUACAGGUCUCCGGUUUUCUGCAGGAACGAGCUCCAAUCAGCAUCCAGCCCUACAUGGCGGCAGCAGGCCCCGCCCCCCUCAGCUCCUACCUUGUGCCUCCCCCGGUAGACGUUGGCGGUGGCCCCCUGACCCAGCAGGUCAGAGAUCAGCCACAGGUAGUUGGUGGUGCUCUGCAUCCUGAUUGGUGACGUCAGAGUCCGCAGCCGCUCUUCAGCGCAGAGGCCCCGCCCAGUUCACUUCCUGGACACAAACAAAACACAAACAAUCAACACGAUGACAUUUGUUUGCUUUUCCAAGUCGCUGCGCAGUGACGUCACGAUGGGAAAUCCCCGCCGAGGCCUGAACUACAGAAAGGUUCCGCGCACGCGCAGCUGCGGCAGGAGUCCGGUAUCGGUCCGGUCCACUAAAACUCAACCCAGGGCGAUUCAACUACGGCCUGAACCGGGUCCUCUGAGACUAUGUUCGGUUUAAAACUCGGGUUCGGCUUUCACUUACAGGCCUGAAUCUCGCGACGCCACGGGUCGGAACCGAAACUCGUCGGUGAAAGCUUCGCCGUCCGGACGAACGAACUCAAACGGGGUUCCGUCGGGGAGAAUACUGAGAUACCGAACCGAACAGUCGCGAAGGCGGUUCCGAGAAACAAACUACAUUUUUUUGUUUGUUUGUUUCCUCACCGUUUUAUUUUCCUGACGCUCGAGCUCCCUCCUUCCGGUCUGCUGGUCAUGUGACCCCGGAGGACGAAUCACUGCGGGUGCGAACAAGGGGGCGUGGCUAAGCCGCUGUUUGUUAGUCAUAGAGGCGUUUGAAGAGAAAAAAUGUUGUUUUAAUUUAUUUUUAUACAUUUUAAUGGUUUAAUUUAAACAUUUAAACAACGGUUAGUUUGUGGUUUUAUUUAAAUCCGCAUUUUAGCGCCAACAGACUUAUUUUAAUUACCAACAAACUGCUGUAAACACUUCAGAUGUGAGCGGGUUUCUAUUUUGUUUUUGUUUUUCCCGCUAGUGCAGUCUAUUUAUGUUUCUGAAUAUAUAUCUGCAUAUUUUUGUGUUCAAACCAUUUUCAAACUCAAAUGUAACUUUAACCACAUCAGUCCAACUUUCGUGUUGGACUGAUGGUAUUUUGCAAAAGACAAACAUCUUAAAUUAUUAAAUGAGGUCAAGUGUA